rnacentral:rRNA from 1 species
GAGUUUGAUCUUGGCUCAGAUUGAACGCUGGCGGCAUGCCUUACACAUGCAAGUCGAACGGCAGCACGGGAGCUUGCUCCUGGUGGCGAGUGGCGAACGGGUGAGUAAUGCAUCGGAACGUAUCCUGGAGUGGGGGAUAACGUAGCGAAAGUUACGCUAAUACCGCAUAUCCUGUGAGCAGGAAAGCGGGGGACCUUCGGGCCUCGCGCUCUUGGAGCGGCCGAUGUCGGAUUAGCUAGUUGGUGAGGUAAAGGCUCACCAAGGCGACGAUCCGUAGCAGGUCUGAGAGGAUGAUCUGCCACACUGGAACUGAGACACGGUCCAGACUCCUACGGGAGGCAGCAGUGGGGAAUUUUGGACAAUGGGGGCAACCCUGAUCCAGCCAUGCCGCGUGAGUGAAGAAGGCCUCGG